rnacentral:rRNA from 1 species
CAGUAGCCACGGUAACACGUAUGUCACAGGCGUUAUCCGGAUUUAUUGGGCGUAAAGCGCGUCUAGGUGGUUAUGUAAGUCUGAUGUGAAAAUGCAGGGCUCAACUCUGUAUUGCGUUGGAAACUGUGUAACUAGAGUACUGGAGAGGUAAGCGGAACUACAAGUGUAGAGGUGAAAUUCGUAGAUAUUUGUAGGAAUGCCGAUGGGGAAGCCAGCUUACUGGACAGAUACUGACGCUGAAGCGCGAAAGCGUGGGUAGCAAACAGGAUUAGAUACCCCCGUAGUCCCUGUCUCUUAUACA